ensembl:snoRNA SNORA62 Small nucleolar RNA SNORA62/SNORA6 family
ACCCCACAUUGUUAGAGCUUGGAGUUGAGGCCACUGGCUGGCCGAUGAACACACAGUGUAGAUAGUGUGCUACAGGAGGGGCAAGUCUUCUCCUAACACACGAGUCUCUGGCCCAAUGAGUGGAGUUUGAUAGUUUGGAAAAAAA